AUAUCAAUAAGCGGAGGAAAAGAAACCAACAGGGAUUGCCUCAGUAACGGCGAGUGAAGCGGCAAAAGCUCAAAUUUGAAAUCUGGCCCUUUCAGGGUCCGAGUUGUAAUUUGCAGAAGAUGCUUCGGGUGUGGCCCCGGUCUAAGUUCCUUGGAACAGGAUGUCAUAGAGGGUGAGAAUCCCGUAUAUGUCUGGGGGUCCACGCCCAUGUGAAGCUCUUUCGACGAGUCGAGUUGUUUGGGAAUGCAGCUCAAAAUGGGUGGUAAAUUUCAUCUAAAGCUAAAUACUGGCCAGAGACCGAUAGCGCACAAGUAGAGUGAUCGAAAGAUGAAAAGCACUUUGGAAAGAGAGUUAAACAGUACGUGAAAUUGUUGAAAGGGAAGCGCUUGCAACCAGACUUGGGCCGGGGCGAUCAUCGGGGGUUCUCCCCCGUGCACUCGCCUCGGCGCAGGCCAGCAUCGGUUCUCGCGGUUGGAUAAAGGCCCAGGGAACGUGGCCCCUCUCGGGGGGUGUUAUAGCCCUAGGUGUCAUGCAGCCAGCGGGGACCGAGGACCGCGCUUCGGCUAGGAUGCUGGCGUAAUGGUUGUAAGCGACCCGUCUUGAAACACGGAUCAAGGAGUCUAACAUCUAUGC
rnacentral:rRNA from 1 species